rnacentral:rRNA from 1 species
CAUUGCCGGAAUCGAUCCGAGGAACGACCCGCGAAUCGUCGCCGCCCAUCUGAGAGGGCCCGCGAGCGCCCAAGGCUCGCGCGGCUCGAGCCGUGCCGGCGCGGGACCUUUCGGGCCCCGCGUCGUGCCGGCGAACGAACAACCCCAGCACGGAUCGUGCCAAGGAGCUUCCACGGAGGGAAAAGUCGUGGCGUCCCCCGGACCGUCCCGGACGGGGGGCGCGGGCGAACGCGAUCUCUGAUCGAGUCUGAACGACUCUCGGCAACGGAUAUCUCGGCUCUUGCAUCGAUGAAGAACGUAGCGAAAUGCGAUACUUGGUGUGAAUUGCAGAAUCCCGCGAACCAUCAAUUCUUUGAACGCAAGUUGCGCCCGAAGCCAUUCCGGCCGAGGGCACGCCUGCCUGGGCGUCGUGAAACCCCCUGCCCCCGGGCACCCGCGCCGCACCGGCGGGGACGUGCCCGGGCGCGGAAUGUGGCCUCCCGCGGGUUCGGCGUGCGCGGCGCGUCGAGGCGCGGUUGGCCGAAAAUCGAGCACGGCCGCGACGGGCCCCACGGCGAUCGGUGGAUCGAGCGAGAUUGGCUGCGUCGUGGGCUCGGCAUGCGGAGGGCUCCGGACUUUGACCAUCCCACAGCGCGA